rnacentral:rRNA from 1 species
GAGGUGUUGGGUUAAGUCCCGCAACGAGCGCAACCCUUGUCGUUAGUUGCCAACGCGUAAUGGCGGGCACUCUAGCGAGACUGCCUAGGUUAACUAGGAGGAAGGUGAGGAUGACGUCAAGUCCGCAUGGCCUUUAUGUCCAGGGCUACACACGUGCUACAAUGGUCGGUACAAUGGGAAGCUAAGUCGUGAGAUGGAGCAAAUCCUUUAAAGCCGGCCCCAGUUCAAAUUGGAGUCUGCAACUCGACUCCAUGAAGAUGGAAUUGCUAGUAAUGGCGGGUCA